AAUAUCGCUGCUGGAUGCUGACGAGCGGCGGACGGGUGAGUAAUGCAUAGGAAUCUGCCCGAUAGUGGGGGAUAACCUGGGGAAACCCAGGCUAAUACCGCAUACGUCCUACGGGAGAAAGGGGGCUUCGGCUCCCGCUAUCGGAUGAGCCUAUGUCGGAUUAGCUAGUUGGUGAGGUAAAGGCUCACCAAGGCAACGAUCCGUAGCUGGUCUGAGAGGAUGAUCAGCCACAUCGGGACUGAGACACGGCCCGAACUCCUACGGGAGGCAGCAGUGGGGAAUAUUGGACAAUGGGGGCAACCCUGAUCCAGCCAUGCCGCGUGUGUGAAGAAGGCCCUCGGGUUGUAAAGCACUUUCAGCGAGGAAGAACGCCUAGCGGUUAAUACCCGCUAGGAAAGACAUCACUCGCAGAAGAAGCACCGGCUAACUCCGUGCCAGCAGCCGCGGUAAUACGGAGGGUGCAAGCGUUAAUCGGAAUUACUGGGCGUAAAGCGCGCGUAGGUGGCUUGAUAAGCCGGUUGUGAAAGCCCCGGGCUCAACCUGGGAACGGCAUCCGGAACUGUCAAGCUAGAGUGCAGGAGAGGAAGGUAGAAUUCCCGGUGUAGCGGUGAAAUGCGUAGAGAUCGGGAGGAAUACCAGUGGCGAAGGCGGCCUUCUGGACUGACACUGACACUGAGGUGCGAAAGCGUGGGUAGCAAACAGGAUUAGAUACCCUGGUAGUCCACGCCGUAAACGAUGUCGACCAGCCGUUGGGUGCCUAGCGCACUUUGUGGCGAAGUUAACGCGAUAAGUCGACCGCCUGGGGAGUACGGCCGCAAGGUUAAAACUCAAAUGAAUUGACGGGGGCCCGCACAAGCGGUGGAGCAUGUGGUUUAAUUCGAUGCAACGCGAAGAACCUUACCUACUCUUGACAUCCUGCGAAUUCGGUAGAGAUACCUUAGUGCCUUCGGGAACGCAAAGACAGGUGCUGCAUGGCUUGUCGUCAGCUCCUGGUUGUGAAAUGUUGGGUUAAGUCCCGUAACGAGCGCAACCCCUUGUCCUUAUUUGCCAGCGCGUAAUGGCGGGGAACUCUAAAGGAAACUGCCGGGGGACAAACCUGGAAGGAAGGGGGGGGACGAACGUCAAGGCCAUCAUGGGCCCUUAACGAAUANGGGCUACCCACCGGGGCAACAAUGGGCCGGGACCAAAAGGGUUGCCAAGCUCCUCGGGAAGUCUACCCAAUCCCGGAAAAGCCCAAUCCCNNUUCCGGGAAUGGGAACUCCGGCAAUCUCCACUCCCUGGAAAUCGCGGAAUGCCUCUAUUAAUCCCCGG
rnacentral:rRNA from 1 species